rnacentral:rRNA from 1 species
AUGGUACCAAUAUCAAUUUCAUCAAGCAAUUUUUUUCUCAACGCAUAUUGUUGCCAAGCCGUUGUAACUCUUUUUCAAUUUGUUUCAUGCUUGUUCAGUCUAGUUCUCAGUUCAUUUCAAGAAUUCAUGUUGGUAAUAUGGUCAACACUAGCAUCAUGUUCUUUCAGUAUCUCAUUAAUAUGCUUCCAAUCACAAAACCCAUCAUGGCCCAAUGCAGUCUUGCACUUGUCAGAAUUGAAAAGCUUGCAACAAAAAUAGAACACCUUUUUUUCGUGUUUUGAAAAACUAAUCAUUUCCUAUCACGCACCUCUCCAUUGCACAUUUUUCUUAAGUAAUGGCUAUACAAAAAAUGUCUUGAAUUUUCAUCGUCUUUUUAAUGUUUUCUUCUUCCCUUUUAGGCCUCUUUUCCAUUAA